rnacentral:rRNA from 1 species
GUGGCCCCCCACAAUGGAACUGAAACACGGUCCAUACACCUACGGGUGGCAGCAGUAGGGAAUAUUGCACAAUGGGCGAAAGCCUGAUGCAGCAACGCCGCGUGUGCGAUGAAGGCCUUCGGGUCGUAAAGCACUUUUCUGAGAGAUGAGAAAGGACAGUAUCUCAGGAAUAAGUCUCGGCUAACUACGUGCCAGCAGCCGCGGUAACACGUAGGAGGCGAGCGUUAUCCGGAUUCACUGGGCGUAAAGCGCGUGCAGGCGGUUUGGUAAGUUGAUCGUGAAAGCUCCCGGCUCAACUGGGAGAGGUCGUUCAAUACUACCAAACUAGAGAGUAGAAGAGGAAAAUGGAAUUCCCGGUGUAGUGGUGAAAUGCGUAGAUAUCGGGAGGAACACCAGUGGCGAAGGCGAUUUUCUGGUCUAUUUCUGACGCUCAGACGCGACAGCUAGGGUAGUAAACGGGAUUAGAGACCCCGGUAAUCCUAGCCGUAAACGAUGUGAACUUGGCGUCGGUGGCUUAAACACCAUCGGUGCCGAAGCAAACGCGAUAAGUUCACCGCCUGGGGACUACGGCCGCAAGGUUAAAACUCAAAGGAAUUGACGG